rnacentral:rRNA from 1 species
GAUGAACGCUAGCGGCAGGCCUAAUACAUGCAAGUCGAACGGUAAGCGCCCCUCGGGGGCGCGAGAGUGGCGCACGGGUGCGUAACGCGUAUGCAACCCUGCCCCCGUCAGCGGUAUAGCCCGGAGAAAUCCGAAUUAAUACCGCAUGGUCCCCCUUGUCCGGCAUCGGGGAAGGGGUAAAGCCGAGGCGGACGGGGAUGGGCAUGCGUGCCAUUAGAUAGUUGGCGGGGUAAUGGCCCACCAAGUCAGCGAUGGCUAGGGGUUCUGAGAGGAAGGUCCCCCACAUUGGAACUGAGACACGGUCCAAACUCCUACGGGAGGCAGCAGUGAGGAAUAUUGGUCAAUGGGCGAGAGCCUGAACCAGCCAAGUAGCGUGCAGGAUGACGGCCCUAUGGGUUGUAAACUGCUUUUAUAAGGGAAUAAAGUGAGCCUCGUGAGGCUUUUUGCAUGUACCUUAUGAAUAAGGACCGGCUAAUUCCGUG